CCUCUGGUGCCCACAAAGGCCGCCGCCGCCGCUCCUGGCCACCGCCGCGCCCGCGCCCACACCUGCGCCCACUCUCCCGAUCGGCGCCGGCACCAACAAAUGCUCCUGCCGCAAAUCCGACGACUGGCAGCCCUGCCUCCUCUUCCAUCCAUAGACAAGGUUAAGGGAACAGUGGGAGUGGAUAUCUCUUCGCCUAUAUGUAAGAGCUAAAGUGUGCAGGAUUUCGUAUAGAAUUUGGAGUUAUUUUGUGCCAGCUAUCAUAAUCUAUUUUGAUGGAUGGACAUUUAUCAAAAAGUCAGACUCUCCAGGUAGUGGGGACCUUUGGCAACUGGAUUUUGGUCAGUCUUUUCCACCAAAUUCAUCCAGCUGGCCAGCUGGGUGUUUAGGUGUUUAUUGAUUAUUCUACGUAUCGCUUGAUUUUCAUAUGCAAUCUGUCCACUCUACAAAUGUGCAUGUUCAUUUCUUAUCGAAAUGCUCAGACCGAUUCAAAUAUAGUAUU